AGUGAACGCUGGCGGUAGGCCUAACACAUGCAAGUCGAACGGCAGCACAGUAAGAGCUUGCUCUUACGGGUGGCGAGUGGCGGACGGGUGAGGAAUACAUCGGAAUCUACUUUUUCGUGGGGGAUAACGUAGGGAAACUUACGCUAAUACCGCAUACGACCUACGGGUGAAAGCAGGGGAUCUUCGGACCUUGCGCGAUUGAAUUAGCCGAUGUCGGAUUAGCUAGUUGGCUGGGUAAAGGCCCACCAAGGCGACGAUCCGUAGCUGGUCUGAGAGGAUGAUCAGCCACACUGGAACUGAGACACGGUCCAGACUCCUACGGGAGGCAGCAGUGGGGAAUAUUGGACAAUGGGCGCAAGCCUGAUCCAGCAAUACCGCGUGGGUGAAGAAGGCCUUCGGGUUGUAAAGCCCUUUUGUUGGGAAAGAAAAGCAGCAGGUUAAUACCCCGCUGUUCUGACGGUACCCAAAGAAUAAGCACCGGCUAACUUCGUG
rnacentral:rRNA from 1 species